rnacentral:rRNA from 1 species
CUACGAAGGGGGCUAGCGUUGUUCGGAUUUACUGGGCGUAAAGCGCACGUAGGCGGAUUGAUUAGUUAGGGGUGAAAUCCCGAGGCUCAACCUCGGAACUGCCUUUAAUACUGUCAAUCUCGAGACCGGAAGAGGUGAGUGGAACUCCUAGUGUAGAGGUGGAAUUCGUAGAUAUUAGGAAGAACACCAGUGGCGAAGGCGGCUCACUGGUCCGGUACUGACGCUGAGGUGCGAAAGCGUGGGGAGCGAACAGGAUUAGAUACCCUAGUAGUCC